rnacentral:rRNA from 1 species
CUACGUGCCAGCAGCCGCGGUAAUACGGAAGGUCCAGGCGUUAUCCGGAUUUAUUGGGUUUAAAGGGAGCGUAGGCUGGAGAUUAAGUGUGUUGUGAAAUGUAGACGCUCAACGUCUGAAUUGCAGCGCAUACUGGUUUCCUUGAGUACGCACAACGUUGGCGGAAUUCGUCGUGUAGCGGUGAAAUGCUUAGAUAUGACGAAGAACUCCGAUUGCGAAGGCAGCUGACGGGAGCGCAACUGACGCUUAAGCUCGAAGGUGCGGGUAUCGAACAGGAUUAGAUACCCUGGUAGUCCGCACAGUAAACGAUGGAUGCCCGCUGUUAGCGCCUGGCGUUAGCGGCUAAGCGAAAGCAUUAAGCAUCCCACCUGGGGAGUACGCCGGCAACGGUGAAACUCAAAGGAAUUGACGGGGGCCCGCACAAGCGGAGGAACAUGUGGUUUAAUUCGAUGAUACGCGAGGAACCUUACCCGGGCUUGAAUUGCC